GGUCCAACUGCCAAGAGACCUCGCCGCUGGGGAACUGAGCAAAAGGAGGAAUACCUCUGCUCAGCCGCGCACACUUGAUCCCCCUCCCAAUCAAAUCACCUCUCUCCCCCCUCUCUCUCUCUGUCUGCCCCUCGCCGCGCCCCUCUCUCCUCCCCCGCCGAUCCCGCGCGGCUACCGGAGGCCCGGCUGCGGCGGCGACGAGGCGGCAGGCGAUGACAUCGACCCCGCAGCCUCCCCGCGAUCGCGCGCACGCCGCCCCGCCCGCGCAGGACCUCACCGGCCUCGGCCUCGCGGCCGCGAGGUCCCUCCGCCACCGCCCACCUCGCCAAGGGUCGAUGCCUUCAGGUUCUGUGGAGCACCAGACCAUUUCAGGCUCACUGAUCCACUCAAUGAUUCAGUUCUGCGGAGCACCAGAGUACUUCAUGUUCAAUGAUCCGCAGCCGGUGAUCCCACACCAUGUGGCCGCGGAACCCAGUCACAAUGCUCCCGUGGCCACCCUCUCCAGGGCCACCAACACAGAGACUGACAACCCCGAAGACUGGGAGUUCAUCUCGGAUGAGUCGCUCAACUACAUCAGCCGGAUGCUCAUGGAGGAGGACAUUGAUGAGAAGGUCAGCGUGUACCAGGAGGAGUCAGCCACUCUCCGUGCUACCGCAAAGCCCUUCUAUGACAUCCUUGGGCACAAGUUCCCGCCGUCCCCUGACCGCACGCUCACGACUUGGUCCCUGGACAGCCCCAGUGAGAGCAGCAGCAGCGGUCAUGCCCAGUCCUUGUCCAGUGUGGGUACUAGCGGCAGCAUCGGUGGUGCGGUUCAUAGCAACCAGUGCCAUAAUGUUGGACACUCUGAGCAGCUGGAAGCUUAUCGCGGCUUGUGUGGCCGAUCUUCUCAGCCACUGGUUGCCCCACCAAGUGGUGUUUCUGAUGCAGCAGAGUCACUAGAAGAUCCUUUGAUCACCAACGGCAGGAUCCCCGAGUAUUUGUUCGAGAGCCUUCCAACUUGGGAUUUCAGGAGAGGUGUCGAGGAAGCACAGAAGUUUCUCCCUGGUGGUGAUAAGCUAGUGAUUGAUUUAGAAGCUGCUGGUGUCUCAAAGCCUCAAGAAGCAGUGAAAGACAUUCCUUUCAAUGUGAGCAGGACAGAGGUCUUGAAGGCCAAGAAAAACAGACAGAGCGAAGAUCUUGACUUGAUAGAAGGACGGAACAUUAAACAAUCUGCAUUCUGUUCCGAUGAGCCUGAUGAUUGGGUUGAGAUGUUUGAUGAUUUGUUUCGUCAAACUGAAAAAAAGGCUACAGUUCUGCGAGAAAAGAUGCGCAGCGAAGCUUCCAAGAAUUCUCAGGUCAUUCAAACGAAAGGAACAACUGGGGUGAAGACACGGGGCAGGAAGCCGACUAAAAAUGAUGUGGUGGACCUUAGGACCAUCCUCAUCCACUGUGCACAGGCAGUGGCAGCUGAUGACCGCCGAACUGCUAAUGAGUUGCUAAAGCAAAUAAAACAGCAUUCCAAGGUAAAUGGGGAUGGCAGCCAGAGGCUGGCGUUUUGCUUUGCACAGGGUCUCGAGGCUCGCUUGGCUGGCACAGGGAGCCAGCAGUACCAUAGGCUUGUAGCAAAGCGGACAACCGCGUCCGACAUGCUUAAGGCGUACCAUCUUUACUUUGCAGCAUGCCCAUUCAAGAGGCUCUCACAUUUCCUCUCCAAUCAAACAAUCUUGAGCAUGACAAAAAAUGCAAAGAAGGUGCACAUAAUUGACUUCGGCAUUUAUUUUGGCCUCCAAUGGCCAUGCCUCAUCAGGCGUCUCUCCAAGAGGGAAGGUGGUCCACCAAUUCUUCGCAUCACGGGAAUUGAUGUACCCGAGCCCGGUUUCCGCCCUACCGAGCGCAUCGAAGAGACGGGACAGAGGCUUGCAGAGUAUGCCAAGAAGUUUGAGGUGCCUUUUGAGUACCAUGGCAUAGCAUCAAAGUGGGAAACCAUCCGUGCUGAGGAUCUCAAGGUUGGCAAAGACGAAGUGGUGAUUGUUAAUUGCCUGUACCGUUUCAGAAAUCUUAUUGACGAAACAGUGGCUGUAGACAGCCCUAGGAAUAGGGUGCUCAACACUAUAAGGCAAGUGAAUCCAGCAAUUUUCAUCCAUGGGAUUGUGAAUGGGUCAUACAGUGUUCCUUUCUUCAUCACACGUUUCCGUGAGGCAUUGUUCCAUUUCUCUGCAUUGUUUGACAUGCUUGAGGCAACUGUGCCGCGGGAUGAUGACCAGCGUAGGCUCAUAGAGAGGGAUCUCUUUGGCCGAGAGGCACUCAAUGUGAUUGCAUGUGAGGGCUCAGACAGAGUCGAGAGGCCAGAGACAUAUAAACAGUGGCAAGUCAGGAACCUGAGGGCUGGAUUUGUUCAGUCUCCGCUAAACCAGGACAUUGUGAUAAAAGCCAAAGACAAAGUGAAAGAUAUAUAUCACAAAGAUUUUGUCAUAGACGAAGACAGUGGAUGGCUCCUCCAAGGGUGGAAAGGAAGGAUAAUUUAUGCUAUAACUACAUGGAAGCAUAAUAACAGUUAGGUUCUUCGUCUGCAUGUCUCUUACACCAUUGUUGAAGGCAGAGCUUGGCCAAGUCACCAGUAUUCCAAGGAAUUGGCUUGAAGAAUGACAGGACUCUUGUCACACUGCACUGGAUUAAUGUGGGUGCUUGUAUACGAAUUCAGUGUAGUUGCAUCUAUGACUAUGUAGCCACUAGCCAGUACUAAGAUAACCUAGAGGAAAGGAGCAGUGGUUGAGCUCUCCCUUGGCCAUGCGAUGUCAAUCUUUUAAGAGCACAGGAUAUUUUUGGAGCAGUUAUUUGAAAAUGGCAUGAAAUGUUCUUUUCUUUUUAUUCCAGAAAAUAACCUGAGGAGUGAACAAGAUUGUUGUUGCACUGCACCAGAUCAAGGUGCGGGGGAGCCUGUGUAAGAACUGAGUGUCAAUUGCGUCUGUGCAGUAGCCGCCUUCUCUACUAUUAAUUGUUUAGCCAACCACCUAGGACUUUAAUGUUUGUACUCUUGACAUUCCUGGAUCCACUUUGUUAGUAAGCCUGAGUUGGUUCCAGCAUCAUGCAGCAUAUGCAUUGUCAAAUCAAAUGAUUCAGUAUCCACAUUUCAUUUGGUUACUUUCGCAGCGUGCGCUGCAUGCUGUCGAGAAACGGCGGUCCUUGGGCUUCAGUGGGGGACUUGUUUGGAGCAUUUGAGAAAACAAGCAGUGCUACAACUUCACAUUUUUUUCUGUCUAAAGAACUAGUUGACGGACGG
rnacentral:rRNA from 1 species